rnacentral:lncRNA from 1 species
GCCGUCAGGCUGCUUGUGCUGCAAUUCUUCAGGGGCACCGGCGACGCGGCCGGCGAGACGAACGGCGACGUGGAGCAGCUCCCGGCCUCCGAGUGCUCCCCCCAGUCUUUGGCUGAGCUGUUGAUGUGGCGAACCUCCUCGUCAGCCAGGUUGUCCUUGGGGUCUGGAGGGUGUCCGUCCACCGAGUCUGUCCGAACGGCCUCCUGGAAUCAGAGAAUCGUGAAGGUUGGAAAAGAUCUCUAAGCUCACCAAGUUCAACCCCAACCCACCCCCAACGUGACAGAAAAUCACAUCCCUCGGUGCCACAUCGCUACGGUUCUUGAACACCUUCAGGGACGGGGACUGCACCACCUCCCCGGGCAGCCUGUG